GUGAGUCCGAGGGCCCGCCCGGGAGCGGGGACGCGUUCACGGCUCGGAUUUUUUUUUUUUCUUCCCAGCAGCACUAGCUCAGUGGUAGCCGUGGCCAGUUAAAGGGGGCUAACUGUGCGACCCCGCCGCCGUUUCUUUUAGCCGUACGUUUGCUGACAUGACGUAUGACCCGUUGUUAGGGGAAAGGAGCAGGGCUUUAAGCUCCUACCAGGCGGCGGGAAGCGCGCGGGUUUCAGUAAUAUGGGAGGAAUGUUGUGGAGCCCGGCUAACAUUAGCGAUGUGGCUACAACAAAAUGGCGGCUCAGUGAAGCGUGAGCUGUCAGGGGGUUGCCUCCCCUGCCCCACGCUAUCUCUGGACCUGAGCGCCUGGGCUCCGCCGGUUAGGCCGUAAGAACUCCCCCCCCCCACCCCCCCACGGGCGUUACCGUGAUCUAAAACCACCGUGGGCUCUUUCACCAAAGCCGUGUCUGAUGCAAUGCUAGCCUCAUUGCACUGUUGGCCGCAUGAAGCCUGUUGGCAGGGAGUGGGAGUGGGGCCGCAGCUGUUCACGUCCGUGGGGUGUUCCCCUGCUAGCGAGCUGCGCGGAUCGAUCACCGGAGACCAGUCGGUUCGUCCUCUCCCCUGGACAACCCUGACGCUGUCAUGGCCAUAUUUACCGGGUUGGGGGGGGGGGGGGGGGGUCACAGGUUGCCCGGUAACGUUAAGUGACCGUGACUCAUUCACAGGAUCUGGACCGAGACUCCUCAGGGGCUGAUUUAUGGUUUGGUGGCUAAACUGUAACCUCGCAGGAAUGCAGCGCAGCUCUCCCGCUGCUACUCUGCCUGAAGUUGUCUGAGAGGAACGGGUUCGCUCAGGGCUGAGGCUCUCUGCGUCCAUCCGCCGGCCUUCUGCCGGCAAAACCAAGAACCGACAUUCCGUUCUCCGGGUCGCAAAAGCGAGUCAAUGGAUUACAAAAAAAAAAAAAAAACAGAGAACAGGAAGACACAAAGCGGCUAAAAACACCACGGGUGCCUGCCAUUAACGUAGUGUACACCAUAAGCCCUAAGGCCUUCUGCUAAUGAUGGUGUCCUGCUGGCUCUGGGGGCAAAGAACGUUCUCUGAGAAGAGCCACCAGCGGCUCGGGCCAAAGACUCAUUAGGUAAUCACCUUCCAAGUUCCCCUCACUGUCCUCUGCAGGGUCCUCCGGUCUGCUGCAGCGGACUGUAGUUCUCCAGCUGCAACCACCCCAAGAGCCCAGGUUCAGGAUGCGUUGCCCAGCAACAAGGUUGUUAGGGUGCUGGUGGUGCGCUGCAAAAAAGGGAAGCAAAAGUAAUUAAAUGUCCCUUUUAAAUUAGUGUAUUUGUUCUUGUUUUGAGCAGAUAAGGAAGAUGAGGUGCCAGUGGAAUGAGUGUUUUACCCCUAAAAUAAGAUAAUUAGGUAUACUGCGCUGGAAACAAGGUGAUGGAGAUGAGUUUUUCCUCAUUUUAAGGUUAAAACAUCUUAUUUCGUUGGCAGAUCAUUUGGACUUCCAGGACUCAUUUAGAGAGAAUUGGACUUGGUUUUAGUUCCGUUUUUGCAGCGCUGUGAUGCUUCAGAUAUUCUCCCAGACUACACAGUUAGCUUUAUUAAGGUAAUACCAGAGAGGCACCCAUCAGACAUUUGGAUGAUUUUUUAUUUCAGUCACAAAAUCCAUAUUUCCAUAGCAAUUACACAAAAGCAAUCAAAAAAAGGGCAGAAGCAAAACUUUAUACGGCCAACUCUAAAAUUUGCACUACUUUGUAAGAUGCCUUUAAUGUUAAAGGAAAGAAAAUACUAAGAGGAAAACCGGCUUCAGUUCUCUUUUUAAGAACGCUGAUGUGUGAAGAUCGGCUUUUAAGUUUUUAUUUUCUAGUCGUGCUGCUGUGAGCGGCCGUGAAUUAUUCAUCUGAGGAGCAGAAGCUACAGCGUGCUGCGACAGAGCAGUCCUGUAAAACGGGGUUUUAGAAAUCUUCACUCCAGAAAAUAAAAGGCUAAAUUAUGCACAGGAUCCCAUUUUAAACAGUCAGUAGCGUCUUUUAUUGUGUGAUCAACCGUAGCUCCGUGUGCCGGGUCAGACUUUCUCCCCAAUAGGCGGCGGGCGUGUCCUAAGCCAGCGCGUAUGGUGACAGAGCAGCUUUGGGGGUCCGCGCUGGCCUUCCUGUUAGGGGCUGAAAGUCUUCCUCUCUCAGCCUGAUUUAGCUCCAGACAUGUAGGAAAU